rnacentral:rRNA from 1 species
ACACGACUACAUUAGAUACCCUGUAGUCCCAGCCCUAAACGAUGCGCGUUAGGUGUAUCGGUGACCACGAGUCACCGAGGUGCCGAAGGGAAACCGUGAAACGUGCCGCCUGGGAAGUACGGUCGCAAGGCUGAAACUUAAAGGAAUUGGCGGGGAGCACCACAACGGGUGGAGCCUGCGGUUUAAUUGGACUCAACGCCGGGAAGCUCACCGGAUAAGACAGCGGAAUGAUUGCCGGGCUGAAGACCCUGCAUGACCAGCUG